rnacentral:ncRNA from 1 species
UCUUUUAACGAAAGCUAUGACCCACGACACAUUAUGUGGUCACCUUAUGGUCGCGGGUAGCUAGUGGUGAAAUCGGUCGUUUUUUUU